CUCUUAUGGAGAGUUUGAUCCUGGCUCAGGACGAACGCUGGCGGCAUGCCUAAUACAUGCAAGUCGAGCGAACUGUUGGAAGCU
rnacentral:rRNA from 1 species